rnacentral:rRNA from 1 species
CAAUAGCGUAUAUUAAAGUUGUUGCAGUUAAAAAGCUCGUAGUUGGAUUUGUGGCGUACGGUGUGUUCCGGGCACUUGUUGUCUGAGUAACCUGCUGUUGCCAUCCUUGGGUGGAACCUGUGUGGCAUUAGGUUGUCGUGCAGGGGAUGCCCAUCAUUUACUGUGAAAAAAUUAGAGUGUUCAAAGCAGGCUUAUGCCGUUGAAUAUAUUAGCAUGGAAUAAUGAGAUAGGACUUUUUUGCUAUUUUGUUGGUUUGCGCAAGAAGGUAAUGAUUAAUAGGGACAGUUGGGGGUAUUCGUAUUCCAUUGUCAGAGGUGAAAUUCUUGGAUUUUUGGAAGACGAACUACUGCGAAAGCAUUUACCAAGGAUGUAUUCAUUAA